rnacentral:lncRNA from 12 species
UUGGUUUGGGCUGUUAAUUCAAACCACUCCCAGGUGCCUAUUUCAUAUUAUCUCUUGUUUAGAACAAAAUAAAAUGAGACUGUCAAAACCUUUCUGCCUCGCUCAGCGCUGGGCCCCAUAGUCCCGUAAAGAGACCCGUUGCAAGGAGGCCACUGCUAAAACUUGGCCGUUCCUCGGAGUGGGGUGCAGAUGUGCCAGGUGAAAGCUUGACCUGCAACCGAUCCACCUUCCCCAGAAAGGUCCUGUCGGAGUCCUGCUCAGGAUGCAUUCCUCCCGCUGGGGCUUUGCCCUCGCCCUCCCUUGCCAGGAGCACCAUUCCCACUCUGUGUCCUACUCUCUUCCAAAGCCUCCUCCCCGAAUCUCUCCCUGAGCACUCUGCUUUUCCAGGUUAGAUGUAUAGUAGGUGCUCAAUAAACAGGAGGCAUUAUUAAUAUUCCUACUUCAUGAAGCAAGUCAGUUGUUCAGUGCUCAUAAAAGAUUUAAGAGAGUAAGAACUCUCACGGGGACUUGCCCAUGACUUGCGUAUAUCCUGGAAUGCCACCCGCUUGCCUUUUAUAUAAUGAGUGCUUCCCUAACGUGGGCGUUUCUGUCUGCCGUCUGCCUUUGGCCACUCUGCCCUCGUGUCAUACAAGGAGUCAGAGAUGGGGAGGACAGGCACCUUUGCUUGGAGGCUCAGGGUCUUUCCCGGGAGAAAGAUGUGUGGCUCUUAGGAUCUAAGCUGUUAGGAUGUUCAAUGUCUGCUUCCUUUUAAGUCAAAGUGAUGUCUCCUUUCCAGCACACAGGAAGAAUGGCUCCCAUCGGUGGUUUUUCACAACUGAGGUUCCUGGGAGUUAAGGUUAGUUCACCGACUUCUCAAAGAAAGACUUUCCCAAAGUGGCUGGCAGUUUCCAGUAUGAUAAGGCAAAGGAGGGGGACAUUUUUUGUUGCUGUUUGCUCCGUCCUGUCUUUUCCUUACUUCAAGGAUCUGAGGCCCCAUGGAAACCCUCGGAGUACUCUUGGCCAGUAUGGACCGUUAUAAAUAAAAUACAAAUCAAAAGCAUCGUUCUACUGGCUUCUUUAGGUUCUUAAGCAGAAGAAUGUUCUUCUGAUCACUGAAGCCAUUUCGGGGCCCGAAAUUAGAAAGUAAUAAAAAAUAUCACACUCUCCCUGGUGGGUAGUAC